rnacentral:rRNA from 1 species
UACGUAGGGGGCUAGCGUUAUCCGGAAUUACUGGGCGUAAAGGGUGCGUAGGUGGUUUCUUAAGUCAGAGGUGAAAGGCUACGGCUCAACCGUAGUAAGCCUUUGAAACUGGGGAACUUGAGUGCAGGAGAGGAGAGUGGAAUUCCUAGUGUAGCGGUGAAAUGCGUAGAUAUUAGGAGGAACACCAGUUGCGAAGGCGGCUCUCUGGACUGUAACUGACACUGAGGCACGAAAGCGUGGGGAGCAAACGGG